CUGGCUGGCUGCGGUCACCGCGUCCCGUGGCUAGUACUCGCGCUGUGACAUGUGUUGCCAGCCACAUCACAGUCAGAGUUCUAGCUAUACGGCGCGGUUCAUCGGCGGUACUAUAG
rnacentral:pre_miRNA from 12 species